GGAAUAUAAAAAACCGUCUCUUAACUUUUAAUUAAAAAAACUAAGAAUCGGCUCUUAAAUAAGAGUUUUAAGAACCGGUUCUUAACUUUUUUAGUUAAAAAUUAAGAGAUGGGUUCUUAUAUUUC
rnacentral:pre_miRNA from 1 species